rnacentral:rRNA from 1 species
GACGAACGCUGGCGGCGUGCUUAACACAUGCAAGUCGAACGGAAAGGCCCUGCUUUUGUGGGGUGCUCGAGUGGCGAACGGGUGAGUAACACGUGAGUAACCUGCCCUUGACUUUGGGAUAACUUCAGGAAACUGGGGCUAAUACCGGAUAGGAGCUCCUGCUGCAUGGUGGGGGUUGGAAAGUUUCGGCGGUUGGGGAUGGACUCGCGGCUUAUCAGCUUGUUGGUGGGGUAGUGGCUUACCAAGGCUUUGACGGGUAGCCGGCCUGAGAGGGUGACCGGCGGGAGGGGGAAGGAGGUAGGGGGGGGAGGGAUACGGGAGGCAGAGGGGGGGGGGCGGGAACAAUGGGCGGAAGUCGGAGGCAGCAACGCCGGGGGCGGGAGGACGGGCUGCGGGUUGUGAAAAGCAGGCGCCUGUGAAGAAGCGGGAGUGAGGGUAAUGGGUAAAGAAGGAAGGGCGAAUGAGGGG